GACGAACGCUGGCGGCGUGCUUAACACAUGCAAGUCGAACGGAAAGGCCUGCUUUCCCUUGUGGAUUGCGGGUACUCGAGUGGCGAACGGGUGAGUAACACGUGAGUGAUCUGCCCCCAACUUGGGUAUAAGCCUGGGAAACUGGGUCUAAUUCCCGAUAGGACUGCAGGGUGGUGCCUGUGGUGGAAAACGAUUUUCUAGUGGUUGGGGAUGAGCUCGCGGCCUAUCAGCUUGUUGGUGGGGUAAUGGCCUACCAAGGCGGCGACGGGUAGCCGGCCUGAGAGGGUGGACGGCCACAUUGGGACUGGGACACGGCCCAGACGCCUACGGGAGGCAGCAGUGGGGAAUAUUGCACAAUGGGCGGAAGCCUGAGGCAGCGACGCCGCGUGGGGGAUGACGGCCUUCGGGUUGUAAACUCCUUUCGACCGCGAGGAAGCCACCUGGUUGGAAGGGUGGUGACGGUAGUGGUAGAAGAAGCACCGGCUAACUACGUG
rnacentral:rRNA from 1 species